rnacentral:rRNA from 1 species
CACGUAGGGGGCGAGCGUUGUCCGGAUUUAUUGGGCGUAAAGAGCGCGUAGGCGGCCAGAUAAGUCCGGUGUGAAAGUCAAAGGCUCAACCUUUGAAUGCCGCUGGAAACUGUCUGGCUAGAGUCCGGGAGGGGCGAGUGGAAUUCCUGGUGUAGCGGUGAAAUGCGCAGAUAUCAGGAGGAACACCAAUGGCGAAGGCAGCUCGCUGGAACGGUACUGACGCUGAGGCGCGAAAGCGUGGGGAGCGAACAGG